ACAGGGAAGAUGCAGAUGCCUUAAUGAAUAAAGAGGCUACACUGAGUUUGUGUCUGGCCAGAUGGACCAUCUGGCAUUGGUCCAUGUUAUUUAUACGAAAUGUUUUCCUACCGUGUCCCACUUGUUACCCUCAUUAAAAGUUUUUCAUCAUGAUUUAUGCCUCUAUCAACAUUGCAGCACUCUAAUGAACAGUUAUCUCCAUUCAUUUGAGUUCUUGAUGAGUUGGCCUCUAACAAAAACACUCUUGGUAGCAAAACUUCUGUUGUGAAAACACAUCAUGGCUUUGGGUGCAUGUAUGUCACGUGUUUCUCAGUUUACUGGGCCGUACUGUCCUUCCCAGACCAUCCCAUUUGGCAUGCCUGUCUCUUCAGUGAUUUCUUUCCAGUCUUUUCAGGAUGUAGCGUCUCUUUGUUACUUGUUCAGGCUCUUAGAUUUCACUCUGAUGUCCAUGUGCAAAGAAAGAAAUGCUAAAGGGAGAGAGCAUGUUGAGAGGCUUCACAGGAGAAACAGCUCCUAAAGUUGGCAAUUCCAAACUACAACGGAGAGCUCUUAGGUAAGAUCCUUAUUUUUAUGUAAUACUUUUGUAGAAUUUUUAUGUAACUUUGGUUUUGAGUGCUUUUAUAAGCCCAAUGUAAAAGAUCCACACCAACAGAAAUCCACUCUUUUAAAAAGUCUUGUAUAAGUCUUGAACAAAAUUAAUAGGACUAUAUUGCCUUUCAUUCAUUCUCCCAACUAAUUAUUUAGUACUGUAUGAUGCUGUUACAUUGUUUGCUGUUAGGAAAUAUUGCUUAACUUUGUUUCUUUUACUUAAAUAAAAAAAAAAAAACCUUUUUACCAAGUUGUGGAAAAUAAAUUUUCAUUUUUUAUGUGAAGAUAUUGCAUUACAUAUUUUUUGGAUGGAACUGUGUGAUUUCUGCCAAGAUUCUGAUCCCUUUUCAGGUGCUGCUUUAACAAAAGCAGGCAGUUCUGAGGCCUCUUGUUUCUGUUAUAAACAUUAUAUGCAAAAUAUAUUGAAAUUUAAAGCUGGUUUCUCUUUCUAUCCAGCUUCCAGAAAGAGUACUUGUUUGAAGAGAAAGACGAGGGAACCAACAAAGAAUUAGAUGUCAGUCUGCUGGGAAAUACACUCAAGGGUAAGUGAAAUAUACAUCUACACUUCAGCUGUGGUUCUUUAUUUUGGCUAUUAUAUACUAGUAAGUAUUUGACUCACUACACCAGAAACUACUAUUUCUUUCACAAAUUUAGCAAAAUUCAGUUGACUUCUGCACUUUUCUAAUUGAGGUGUGUUAGUUUAAUGGUUAAGUAUCUUAAUACAAAGGUAGCAGGUUUAAAUCCCAAGGAGGAUUUGAGGACUAAAUGAUCACUGGCUCUUAAGUGCACUCAAUUUUAGAGUGUCUGUCCCUGAUAUAGUCACAUGAGACAUUCUGUAUUCACAUUAACAUCAAAGUUUUCACCGGUUGCUUUAAUACUUUGUUCUUUCAGUUAGCAUUGACUGCUUCCUGGACACAUGGAGGUUAUUGGGUUGGGGGGGAUGGGAUACUAAUGACCUAUGUUUGGUUUGCUGGGGGCCACCUGUUGUUGGACAAGCUGUCUUGCUUACUGGCCCUGAAAAUGUGACAGAUGUGGGAAAAGAGUGCCAAGAUACAGGUAAGAUCCUUAUUUUUAUGUAAUACUUUUGUAGAAUUUUUAUGUAACUUUGGUUUUGAGUGCUUUUAUAAGCCCAAUGUAAAAGAUCCACACCAACAGAAAUCCACUCUUUUAAAAAGUCUUGUAUAAGUCUUGAACAAAAUUAAUAGGACUAUAUUGCCUUUCAUUCAUUCUCCCAACUAAUUAUUUUAGUACUGUAUGAUGCUGUUACAUUGUUUGCUGUUAGGAAAUAUUGCUUAACUUUGUUUCUUUUACUUAAAUAAAAAAAAACCUUUUUAAACCUAGUUGUGGAAAAUAAAUUUUACUAUUUUUAUUUGUGAAGAUAUUGUCAUUACUAUAUUUUUUGGUUAU
rnacentral:lncRNA from 1 species